CCAGGCCCAAGGUGAUAUUAAAAGGAAAUUACAGAAAAUAGAGGGAUUUGCAGGGAUGUCCAUAUUACAGCUAAUGGAGAUUGCAAAUACAGUAUAUAUGAAUAGGGAGACGGAGGAAGAACGUAAGAUGAGGAAAAAGGCAGAUAUGCUAGCGGUAGCUAUCUUAAGUGUAGAAAGACAGGGAAGUGAAUAGAGGAGACGAGAAUAGGCUGAGCAAGGGACCUU